AUGAGAUUCAAGCUAUUUCUAAAGGUAAGUUUCGCAAAGCCAUCACUUGAGUGUUUGAGGACCAAAAUGAAUCAACUGCAUUAACAGGAUAAAUCAAACUAAUUAAUAUAAGUAGAGAAAUGUAAUUAUAAUUUACAAAGAGAUUAAAGGAUAUUGAAGUUACAUACCAGUCAGUGUCACAAGGAGAACAACAAAAAAGAAAGAGAGUUUGUGAGAUAGACAUUUUUUAGCCAUGCUAAUAGAGUUUUGAGUAGCUGAUUUUUGUGAGAAGAAGAGCUAAUUAAUUGUGUGAGUGGAUUUUCUUGAUUGAUGAAAGGCUACAUAUAU
rnacentral:lncRNA from 1 species